UACGUAGGGUGCGAGCGUUGUCCGGAAUUAUUGGGCGUAAAGAGCUCGUAGGCGGUUUGUCACGUCGGAUGUGAAACCCCGGGGCUUAACUCCGGGCCUGCAUUCGAUACGGGCUGACUAGAGUUCGGCAGGGGAGACUGGAAUUCCUGGUGUAGCGGUGAAAUGCGCAGAUAUCAGGAGGAACACCGGUGGCGAAGGCGGGUCUCUGGGCCGAUACUGACGCUGAGGAGCGAAAGCGUGGGGAGCGAACAGG
rnacentral:rRNA from 1 species